UUAAGUGACUAAGCGUACAUGGUGGAUGCCUUGGCAGUCAGAGGCGAUGAAGGACGUACUAACCUGCGAUAAGCCGUGAGCAGUCGGUAAGAGACAUUACGACUCACGGAUUUCCGAAUGGGGAAACCCACUUAGCAUAAGCUAGGUAUCGCUGCGUGAAUACAUAGCGUAGCGAGGCGAACCGGGAGAACUGAAACAUCUAAGUACCCCGAGGAAAAGAAAUCAACCGAGAUUCCCUCAGUAGCGGCGAGCGAACGGGGAUUAGCCCUUAAGCAUCUUGGAAGUUAGUGGAACGGUCCUGGAAAGGCCGGCGAUACAGGGUGAUAGCCCCGUACACGAAAACAACCUUGAUGUGAAAUCGAGUAGGGCGGGACACGUGACAUCCUGUCUGAAUAUGGGGGGACCAUCCUCCAAGGCUAAAUACUCCUGACUGACCGAUAGUGAACCAGUACCGUGAGGGAAAGGCGAAAAGAACCCCUGUGAGGGGAGUGAAAUAGAACCUGAAACCGUGUACGUACAAGCAGUGGGAGCCCUUCGGGGUGACUGCGUACCUUUUGUAUAAUGGGUCAGCGACUUACAUUUUGUAGCGAGGUUAACCGUAUAGGGGAGCCGUAGGGAAACCGAGUCUUAACUGGGCGUCUAGUUGCAAGGUGUAGACCCGAAACCGGGUGAUCUAGCCAUGGGCAGGUUGAAGGUUGAGUAACAUCAACUGGAGGACCGAACCCACUAACGUUGCAAAGUUAGGGGAUGACCUGUGGCUGGGGGUGAAAGGCCAAUCAAACUCGGAGAUAGCUGGUUCUCCCCGAAAGCUAUUUAGGUAGCGCCUCGGACGAAUACUACUGGGGGUAGAGCACUGUUUGGGCUAGGGGGUCAUCCCGACUUACCAACCCCAUGCAAACUCCGAAUACCAGUAAGUAAUAUCCGGGAGACACACGGCGGGUGCUAACGUCCGUCGUGAAGAGGGAAACAACCCAGACCGCCGGCUAAGGUCCCAAAGUUCUGGUUAAGUGGGAAACGAUGUGGGAAGGCUCAGACAGCUAGGAUGUUGGCUUAGAAGCAGCCAUCAUUUAAAGAAAGCGUAAUAGCUCACUAGUCGAGUCGGCCUGCGCGGAAGAUGUAACGGGGCUCAAACCAGGCACCGAAGCCGCGGAUUCACGCUAAGCGUGAGUGGUAGGGGAGCGUUCUGUAAGUCUGCGAAGGUGUGUCGAGAGGCAUGCUGGAGAUAUCAGAAGUGCGAAUGCUGACGUAAGUAACGAUAAAGGGGGUGAAAAGCCUCCUCGCCGGAAGACCAAGGGUUCCUGUCCAACGUUAAUCGGGGCAGGGUGAGUCGACCCCUAAGGCGAGGCCGAAAGGCGUAGUCGAUGGGAAGCAGGUUAAUAUUCCUGCACGACUUGUAAUUGCGAUGGGGGGACGGAGAAGGCUAGGUGGGCCAGGCGACGGUUGUCCUGGUGAAAGUGCGUAGGUGGUGUUUCUAGGCAAAUCCGGAGACACAACACUGAGACACGAGACGAACACACUACGGUGUGGAAGCCAUUGAUGCCCUGCUUCCAGGAAAAGCCUCUAAGCUUCAGAUUACAAGUCAUCGUACCCCAAACCGACACAGGUGGUCGGGUAGAGAAUACCAAGGCGCUUGAGAGAACUCGGGUGAAGGAACUAGGCAAAAUAGAACCGUAACUUCGGGAGAAGGUUCGCUCUUGACAGUGAAGUCCCUUGCGGAUGGAGCAGUUGGGAGUCGCAGUGACCAGAUGGCUGGGACUGUUUAUCAAAAACACAGCACUCUGCAAACACGAAAGUGGACGUAUAGGGUGUGACACCUGCCCGGUGCCGGAAGGUUAAUUGAUGGGGUUAGCGCAAGCGAAGCUCUUGAUCGAAGCCCCGGUAAACGGCGGCCGUAACUAUAACGGUCCUAAGGUAGCGAAAUUCCUUGUCGGGUAAGUUCCGACCUGCACGAAUGGUGUAACCAUGGCCAUGCUGUCUCCACCCGAGACUCAGUGAAAUCGAAUUCGCCGUGAAGAUGCGGUGUACCCGCGGCUAGACGGAAAGACCCCGUGAACCUUUACUACAGCUUGGCACUGAACAUUGAACCUACAUGUGUAGGAUAGGUGGGAGGCUUUGAAGGCGUGACGCCAGUUGCGCUGGAGCCGUCCUUGAAAUACCACCCUUGUAUGUUUGAUGUUCUAACGCAGGCCCGUGAAUCCGGGUCGCGGACAGUGCCUGGUGGGUAGUUUGACUGGGGCGGUCUCCUCCCAAAGAGUAACGGAGGAGCACGAAGGUUGGCUAAUCCUGGUCGGACAUCAGGAGGUUAGUGCAAUGGCAUAAGCCAGCUUAACUGCGAGACGGACAGGUCGAGCAGGUACGAAAGUAGGUCAUAGUGAUCCGGUGGUUCUGAAUGGAAGGGCCAUCGCUCAACGGAUAAAAGGUACUCCGGGGAUAACAGGCUGAUACCGCCCAAGAGUUCAUAUCGACGGCGGUGUUUGGCACCUCGAUGUCGGCUCAUCACAUCCUGGGGCUGAAGUCGGUCCCAAGGGUAUGGCUGUUCGCCAUUUAAAGUGGUACGCGAGCUGGGUUCAGAACGUCGUGAGACAGUUCGGUCCCUAUCUGCCGUGGGCGUUGGAUGAUUGAAGGGAGUUGCUCCUAGUACGAGAGGACCGGAGUGAACGAACCUCUGGUGUUCGGGUUGUCACGCCAGUGGCACUGCCCGGUAGCUAAGUUCGGAAUCGAUAACCGCUGAAAGCAUCUAAGCGGGAAGCGAGCCCUGAGAUGAGUCAUCCCUGACCCCUUGAGGGUCCUAAAGGGCCGUUGGAGACCACAACGUUGAUAGGUGGGGUGUGUAAGCGCGGCGACGUGUUGAGCUAACCCAUACUAAUUACCCGUGAGGCUUAACCA
rnacentral:rRNA from 1 species